rnacentral:tRNA from 1 species
UGUGGGUAAAUUGGAAUUGUUACUUCCUACAUGGUUAACACCACCCACAU